rnacentral:rRNA from 1 species
AACGAACGCUGGCGGCAUGCCUAACACAUGCAAGUCGAACGAGACCUUCGGGUCUAGUGGCGCACGGGUGCGUAACACGUUGGAAUUUGCCUCGGGGUAUGGAAUAACUCAGGGAAACUUGAGCUAAUACCAUAUAAUGUCUUCGGACCAAAGAUUUAUCGCCCUGAGAUAAGCCCGCGUAGGAUUAGCUAGUUGGUGGGGUAAAGGCUCACCAAGGCGACGAUCCUUAGCUGGUCUGAGAGGAUGAUCAGCCACACUGGGACUGAGACACGGCCCAGACUCCUACGGGAGGCAGCAGUGGGAAUAUUGGACAAUGGGCGAAAGCCUGAUCCAGCAAUGCCGCGUGAGUGAUGAAGGCCUUAGGGUUGUAAAGCUCUUUUACCCGGGAUGAUAAUGACAGUACCGGAGAAUAAGCUCCGGCUAACCUCCGUGCCAGCAGCCGCGGUAAUGUGACUACU